CUCCGCCUCCUGGGGUCAAGUGAUUCUCCUCCCUCAGCCUGCCUAGUAGCUGGGAUUACAGGCGUAUGUCACCACGCCAGGCUUAUUUUUGUAUUUUUAGUAGAGACAGGGUUUCACCAUGUUGGCCAGGCUAGCCUUGAACUCCUGACCUCAGGUGAUCUGCCUGCCUUGGCCUCCCAAAGUGCUGGGAUUACAGGCGUGAGCCACUGCGGCCGGCCGACAACUACAUAAUUGACUCUUCCCCUACCUGCUCCCUUUCUCUUGCAACACGUGGAUUGAGUCACAUGACCAUACCUUCCCUCUUUCUCCUGCAGCCGGCUUUUCUCCUUUAAAUACUGAAGCCCUCAAAAUCGUCUUUGGAGAAAGACACAGACCUGUCUUCAGGUCAUUGCCUUAACCUUGGCAAAAUAAACUUCUAAAUGGAUUGAGACCUGUCUCAGAUACUUUUUGGUUUACAAGGGCGAGCUCACAAGGCUUUAGCGGACCUCUGGGAGCGUGCACAAAGAAGGGACGCUUGAAUUGCUUGUUUUCUCAAGAAGUGUCAGGUCUGAGAGCCUGAAGCUACCCAGCCAAGUACUCCUCACGUCUCCUCCCUGCCUUACAGGGAGGGGAUUCAGCGUUGGUUUUGACUGUCACCAGGACUGGACAUCCUGAUGACCGAAAAAGCAGAUGGCGUUUGUGACUAUAUAUACAUAAUACAACAGAGAAAGCCAAAAAUCCAAGGAACUGCAAGAAUUUUUAUCCGGGUGAAGAUUAUCCUGACAGAGAAAAGUUAGGUGAGGAAGACAAAAACAAAGCUGUAUUUGGAUAAUGUCACGAGUCCUGUUUGUUCAACACACUGGACACAGCAAGACGACUGACUGAAUUAGCCUCCCAUGGCCUCUGCCCAGGCUGGAUAAGAACCUCAAACCUAGGAGGGAGUGGAGGAGACGGAGCUUGGAGAGAGGUGCUCUUUCCUGCUACAUUUGGAUACAAGUCUCUGGUGGGCCCUGUUUGCCCAGAUCCUUGGGCAAGUAAGUUUGACGUCAAUUGAUCUUAAUCUCAGAUGCCAAGUUUGUGCUAAGGUGUAAACGACCCUUCAGUAAAUUGACUAAUCUUGUUGGGCAUUGCCAUAGUUAUAAAAUGUUAAGGAAGUAGAGGUUUUUGUUUGUUUGUUUGUGAAUUUUUUCAACAGAGAGCCUUUCAAAAGAUGUCACAAAGAUUAGGAAACAUCUCCAUCUGUUAUGGAGUAUGUUUUCUGUAAUGAUUCAGUUACCAAGACUACACUGGCAGCAAGAGUUCCUCUGUCUGGGUGAUGCUGAAGGUCAAUCUCUGAUCGGUCCUCAGAAGCCUUCAAAGAUCUUUGAAAUGUUUUCUUAAUGCUCCUCUCUGGCUCCUUAAAUAAUGAUUGAGGCUUGGAUUCUAUUAGAGUGAGCAGGGACUCAAUAUGAAAUUCUGCACCAGGCACACAGUUAAUAUAAUUUAUUUUAUUUAGAAUUCUGCUCUCUGUACGGUCUGGUUAUCAAUUCUCUUUUUCAUGAUUUGGCAUUAAUGAUGGAAAGAACAAAUUCAGAUGUCCUUCCUCUUUGAGUGAUUCACAGUGUGUUUUCUAUUUCCAUUGACAACCUUCUCAGUGUUUUGAUAAUAACUUCCUCAAUAGGACACCAAAAUUAUGUGAAUAAAUGAAAAGAAUUCUUAUAAUCAUAGAAGAUAAAUGAACUAUCUGUACCAUCAAACUACAUUUAAAUGUAAGGGCUAAAAAUAUUUUUAAGAAUUAGGAAAUCCAAGUGAAUCCUGAUUUUUCCUUCUAUGCCUUCCCCCCAACUCCAAAGUCACUUUUUAAAUUGAAGUAUGAUUUAUAUAUUAUAAAAUUAACCAAUUUUAAGGAAAUAAUUUGUCUUUAUAUUUUAACAAAAAUGAAAAUGUUAGAAGGUACAACCACUUAUUAAUAUUUUUUUGAGAAAAUAAGUCAUUCUACCAAAAAGACACACGCACUCACAUGUUCAUUGUAGCACUAGUCACAACAGCAAAGGCAUGGAAUCAACUUAGGUUCCUGUCAACAGUGGACUGGAUUAAGAAAAGUGAUACCAGUCCUUUGCAGCAACAUGGAUGCAGCUGGAGACCAUUAUCCUGAUUGAAUUAACACAGAAACAAAACCAAAUACUAUAUGUUCUCACUUUAUGAGUGGGAGCUAAACAUUGGAUACAUGUGGACAUAAAGAUGGCAACAAUAGACAAUGAGGACUACUAGAAGGGAGAAGGAGAAAGAGGUGCAAAGAUUGAAAGCUAUCUAUUAGGUACUAUGAUCACUACCUGGGUGAUGAGAUCAUUCAUAUCCCAACCCUCAGCAUCCUGCAAUAUACCCAUGUAACAAACCUGCACAUGUACUCCUGAAUCUAAAAUAAAAGUUGGCUGGGCGUGGUAGCUCACACCACCUAAUUCCAGCACUUUGGGAAGCCGAGAUGGGUGGAGCACUUGAGGUCAG
rnacentral:lncRNA from 10 species